AUUGAACGCUGGCGGCAUGCCUUACACAUGCAAGUCGAACGGCAGCGCGGACUUCGGUCUGGCGGCGAGUGGCGAACGGGUGAGUAAUGUAUCGGAACGUACCAUUCAGGGGGGGAUAACGCAGCGAAAGUUGCGCUAAUACUGCAUAUUCUGUGAGCAGGAAAGCAGGGGAUCGCAAGACCUCGCGCUGAUUGAGCGGCCGAUGUCAGAUUAGCUAGUUGGUGAGGUAAAGGCUCACCAAGGCGACGAUCUGUAGCGGGUCUGAGAGGAUGAUCCGCCACACUGGAACUGAGACACGGUCCAGACUCCUACGGGAGGCAGCAGUGGGGAAUUUUGGACAAUGGGGGCAACCCUGAUCCAGCCAUGCCGCGUGAGUGAAGAAGGCCUUCGGGUUGUAAAGCUCUUUCGGCCGGGAAGAAAUCGCACGGGCUAAUACCCUGUGUGGAUGACGGUACCGGAAUAAGAAGCACCGGCUAACUACGUGCCAGCAGCCGCAGUAAAAC
rnacentral:rRNA from 1 species